rnacentral:rRNA from 1 species
GCGGGAAUUCGAUUGGGAAUAUUGGACAAUGGGCGAAAGCCUGAUCCAGCCAUGCCGCGUGAGUGAUGAAGGCCCUAGGGUUGUAAAGCUCUUUCACCGGUGAAGAUAAUGACGGUAGCCGGAGAAGAAGCCCCGGCUAACUUCGUGCCAGCAGCCGCGGUAAUACGAAGGGGGCUAGCGUUGUUCGGAAUUACUGGGCGUAAAGCGCACGUAGGCGGACAUUUAAGUCAGGGGUGAAAUCCCGGGGCUCAACCCCGGAGCUGCCUUUGAUACUGGGUGUCUCGAGUCCGAGAGAGGUGAGUGGAAUUCCGAGUGUAGAGGUGAAAUUCGUAGAUAUUCGGAGGAACACCAGUGGCGAAGGCGGCUCACUGGCUUGGUACUGACGCUGAGGUGCGAAAGUGUGGGGAGCAAACAGGAUUAGAUACCCUGGUAGUCCACACCGUAAACGAUGGAAGCUAGCCGUCGGGCAGUAUACUGUUCGGUGGCGCAGUUAACGCAUUAAGCUUCCCGCCUGGGGAGUACGGUCGCAAGAUUAAAACUCAAAGGAAUUGACGG